UACAGAGGGGGCAAGCGUUGUUCGGAAUUACUGGGCGUAAAGGGCGCGUAGGCGGCCUGCUAAGUCGAACGUGAAAUCCCCGAGCUCAACUCGGGAACUGCGUCCGAUACUGGCAGGCUUGAAUCCGGAAGAGGCGAGUGGAAUUCCUGGUGUAGCGGUGGAAUGCGCAGAUAUCAGGAGGAACACCGAUGGCGAAGGCAGCCCCCUGGGUCAAGAUUGACGCUCAUGCACGAAAGCGUGGGGAGCAAACAGG
rnacentral:rRNA from 1 species